rnacentral:siRNA from 1 species
UAGCGGUAUGUCUUUUUGGCCUA